rnacentral:rRNA from 1 species
GACGAACGCUGGCGGCGUGCCUAACACAUGCAAGUCGAACGGAAGUUAGAGCUUCGGUUUUAACUUUAGUGGCGAACGGGUGAGUAACGCGUGAGGAACCUGCCUUUCAGUGGGGGACAACAGUUGGAAACGACUGCUAAUACCGCAUGACACUUUUGGGAGACAUCUCCUGGAAGUCAAAGCUUUAUGUGCUGAAAGAUGGCCUCGCGUCUGAUUAGCUAGUUGGUGAGGUAACGGCUCACCAAGGCGACGAUCAGUAGCCGGUCUGAGAGGAUGAACGGCCACAUUGGGACUGAGAUACGGCCCAGACUCCUACGGGAGGCAGCAGUGGGGAAUAUUGGGCAAUGGGGGAAACCCUGACCCAGCAACGCCGCGUGAAGGAAGAAGGCCUUCGGGUUGUAAACUUCUU